UUCUGGUUAGCUUAGUUGGCAGAACGCUCCACUGGAAAAGGAGAGGUUGAUCCCUUGUUCGAUGCUAGGACCAGGCA
rnacentral:tRNA from 1 species